GACGAACGCUGGCGGCGUGCUUAACACAUGCAAGUCGAACGGAAAGGCCCUGCUUGCCGGGUACUCGAGUGGCGAACGGGUGAGUAACACGUGGGUGAUCUGCCCUGCACUUCGGGAUAAGCCUGGGAAACUGGGUCUAAUACCGGAUAGGAGCCAUUUUUAGUGUGAUGGUUGGAAAGUUUUUUCGGUGUAGGAUGAGCUCGCGGCCUAUCAGCUUGUUGGUGGGGUAAUGGCCUACCAAGGCGGCGACGGGUAGCCGGCCUGAGAGGGUGGACGGCCACAUUGGGACUGAGAUACGGCCCAGACUCCUACGGGAGGCAGCAGUGGGGAAUAUUGCACAAUGGGCGCAAGCCUGAUGCAGCGACGCCGCGUGGGGGAGGACGGCCUUCGGGUUGGAAACUCCUUUCGCUAGGGACGAAGCUUUUUGUGACGGUACCUAGAUAAGAAGCACCGGCUAACUACGUG
rnacentral:rRNA from 1 species